rnacentral:lncRNA from 1 species
UAGUAUACCAUGAACCUUGUUCAAUCUAGUGUACUCAGAUUAUGAACUUGAUUAGUUUCUGUCCUACCAAAUAAAUGUCAGUACUAUGGCCAUCGAUAACUCGAUGUACGUCUCUGCUCUCUUAGCUAAAACAUGCUUACAUGAAUGACUAACAACUAUCACAUCCAGAGUAGAACAUACAGCUAAUAACGAUAAUAAGCAAACUAGGGUUAUGUACAUGCAAAAUGGUUAUUGACAUUAGCUGUUUUCGUUUACGGUUGACCUGUAACUAUCAAUUUAAAUUGUAAACCCCAAAUUGUAAACCCCAGAACGUACCACAAUAUCUUAGCUUUUGCUAGCUCAUGCAUAUUGUUUCCCUAAAAUCCCUUCAAUUAUUUGGAAAUCUUAGCAAGAGGGACCCCCCCUCCAAAAAUUCUCUUACAUGAUGGUUAUAAGGCACUAAGCUACCUCGGUUGGUGUCUCUGCUAGUCAGGGAAGGCUGGCUAGCUUUAUAUACCUUUCGACGGGUUUCUGGAAAACGACUACAUACUCGUAUUAUAGUCAUAUGUUUCUUCUUUCAGGUAUAUGCUAAUCAUGACUUUUCUCCAUCGACCCUUUUUGGUCUCAACCUUAUUUGGUCUUCGAUCUGUUUCUUCUUUUGUGCAAGUUCAAUUUUUCAAAGAACUGGAUCGAUCUCUUAUCAUGUUUCUGUUUAGACUAAGAUCGAAACAGUGUGAGAUCGAUUUGAUAUGAUGAGAUGCGCUACAGCCUGUUGAUUUGUUCUCAUAUAUUUUCUUUCAAGGGAUGUGAAGCAUAUGAUUGAUUACAAGUUUAACUAAUCUGGAAUUCAGGAUCGACAUCACUUGACCAAAAGUCUUGUAUUUUUCUUUAUCCCAUCAAAUGUUUUGUUUUACCUGUUACAGCAAUAGAUCCAUCCUCAAUUAUAUCCCUGGUAAUUUGAUUGAUGUACAUAUCCUUGGCCAUAACUUCCUCAUUAACCAGUCUUGGGACAAAUCUAGAAAUCAAUGAAUUCAAGAAUCUAAUAAUCUAGUUUUUCUUUUGUUUUUUUUUUAUCACAUAUUACAACUUACAAUCUUCUAUUUAUUAAGAGAAAACUAUGCUGCUAGACUAAUGGUUUUGGACUGUAAUAAUCUAGUUUAUUCACCAUAAGCAGAACAGAAAAUACUGAAAUAUAAUGAUGCAAAUUAACACAUUUCUUGACUAGUAAUUAUGCUAUAAUAUCCUUGUUGGUCCAACCAUUUGAGUAAAGACAAGAAAAUAAGUUGCACGUCUUAGAAAAUAGAAACUAAUUCCUGUUUUUCCUCUUGAUUAGACAAAUUAAACUAAUCAUGUUUAUCACUUACUCUGUCACUCACUUAUUAGACGAAUGGUGCUCUUUGUCAAGCUUAAUUAAUUUACCUUGGCAGAAUCAUUAAAUCUAGAAUGAAUUAUGGUUUUGUUUGACAUCUAGAUUCAGCUCAUCAUGAAUACAUCUCUAUGUACUAUGUUAAUUAUCAAUUGGGAAAGUUUAACAGUACUCAAACCAGACCUUACGCCAUCAUGACGAUGGUUUAUGCUCAGGAAAUCAGGCUACAGUUCUUGCAUAUCUUCUAGACUCGAUAAAGUUAUGAACAGAAUACUGAUUUUAGGGCAGAUAAUAAUGGCCCCAGUUUCAGAUUACAAUUAUCAAUCUUCUUUUUAAGGGCAAUGGGAGAUAUUUCUCAAUCAUAUAUAUUAAAGUUUAAAGCUGCAUGUGACGAUGAAGAAAGAGCCAUAUGUAUACACGUACACUUGGUUUUCAAUCGGUUAUCUUCACAGUCCAAGAUCUUCGGUUAAAUUUCCCUCUCACGUACGAUAAGGAAAACUUCUAAUUUAGAAGAUCUUAUAUAAACCAAUGUUCUAAAAGGCGCUAGGCGCUAGGCGGGCGGUAACCCACAGCCUAGAGCCUGGACAGCCUAGGCGAAGAUUAGGCGGGGACUAGGCGAUUUGUAUUUUUUAAGAUGUAUCAAUUAAAAAUAUAUAUUUUAUGCAAUUUUAAUAUUUUGAAAAACGGUCAAAUAUAGAUAAAUUAUUCAAUAUAAUCUAGUCAUACUCAUUUAUAAAAUAAAUUAUAACUAAAUUUAGCAUAACUUCCUGUAAAAGUGAGCAACAACAGCAAUAAACAUAUACACUUCUAAUUUUAAACACACAAUUAACUCUUAUACUCUCAUACUCCCCAUAAUAUAACAAUCCCACACAAAAAAAAACAAAAAUAGCCGUAGAGCUUAGCAGCCUAGGCGGGCAAGGCGGCAUCUAGGCGGGCUAGGCGGCAUUUAGGCGAGCUAGGCGGCCGCCUAAUCGCCCACAGCCUGGCACAAAGGCCUGGAAGAAAAGCGAGGCGGCUUGUUGCAGCCUAGAGCCUAGGCGGGGACUAGGCGGUCCUAGGCGGGGCCUUUUAGAAGCUUGCUCGAUAGUGCAAUCAUAAUCACUGAUUAAUUCCAUCCAUCUUCUCUGUCUCAUAUUAAGCUCUCUUUGAGUGAACACAUACCGAAGACUCUUGUGAUCGGUAAAUAUCUGACACUUGGCUCCAUAAAGAUAGUGUCUCCACAACUUGAGAGCAAAAACUACUGCUGCAAGCUCCAGAUCAUGAGUAGGAUAAUUCCCCUCAUGCGGCUUCAAUUGCCUAGAAGCGUAGGCAAUAACUCGAUCAUGCUGCAUCAAAACUCCACCUAGACCACGUCUAGAAGCAUCACAAUCGACCACAUAUUCUCCACUAUCAUCUGGAAGUGCCAAAACAGGAGCACUUGUCAAGCAAUUCUUCAAUUCUUGAAAACUUUGCUCGCACUGAUCUGACCAUUCAAACUUAACCCCCUUUCUGGUCAACUUUGUGAGAGGAGCAGCAAUCUUUGAAAAAUCUUUCACAAAGCGCCGAUAAUAACCUGCUAAUCCCAAGAAACUACGAAUCUCCGUCACAGUGGUGGGUCUUCUCCAAUUCGACACUGCUUCCACCUUUUGGGGAUCCACACUAACUCCUUCUGCCGAAAUCACAUGACCCAAGAACCCCACUUUAUCAAGCCAAAACUCACACUUGCUAAACUUAGCAAAUAACUGCGACUUUU